AGUAGUUCUUUUCUGCUUGCCUUGUUGUUCUAAGUCGAUCAUGCUUUCUUUCUGUCUUCUCUUCUCCCUCUACGCACUAUUCCCUAUUUCCUGCCUGCUCUUUGUUCUUUAACGAUGGCUCCUUGUUAGAAGAAGUCCAAGUGCCUAUUUGUCGAAUUUUUCAGGGUUGUGGACACAACAAAGAUGCUGUCGGAGCAUGAAUUAGCCACGAUGGUCGACGGUGGCAAGGGUUUUUGGCCCCCUAUACUAGUAUCGAGAGGCAAGGAUGGGGGUUUCAACGCUAUUGUUGGAAAGGAAUUGAUGUGUCUCUAUGGUCGUUUGAACCGCCCCGUAUAGUUUAGGUGUCACAAGCCGAGGACUGAUAGUUCGAAGUCGUCAAUCAGCUAUUCAAGCUGGGCAUGCUACAUGUUGGACAAUCCAAUGUUCUGUCGUUUGCUGCGAGAUGCUGGUCUCAUUCGUUUUGUGGAUUGCUUCCUGGAUCUCUCUGGUAAGGAGGGAGUACGUUAUGUGAAACCUAUGUUGGUGUUGCCUUUACUCACACAUUUGUAGGUGCAUUCGAUGAGUUCGGUAUCACCGUGGAAGACGUUGUUGCGCUUUUGGUGCUACAAGUCAGUGGGUCGGUGGCCGCCCCCCACUUACAAUUUCCUGAGUCCCUCCCUACCAAAUUUUCAGGACUUUGUGAGAAUCUGAUGAGUGAAAUCUGUGAUUUCAAGUUGUAGGUGGAUUAGUCGACUGCUCGGGUUAAAAUGCCACUUGAGGUGUGGGUGGCCUACUGGUUCGAGAUCAACAGCACCGGAGAUGUGAUGGUUCGCAGGGGAGAUAGCCAGUGCCAUCCUACAACGUUCAUUCUAUACAUUGCAUCCUGAUUCCUCUUUCUUGGGAACAUUGAUUAUGGCAUUCACACGGUGCUGGUUCCCGUUGUCGUGCUUGCUGCUCGAGGUCUUCAACUUCCAUUGGCAUCAAUGUUUUUGGGGUAUUUGUUCGAGUAGAUGGACGACACUGUCCCUCAGAUAAUGGAUCCAAGCUGCAAAAGGCAUUGCAGCUACAUCUUCUUCCCCUUUUUGUUUAUGUACAUGUGUGAGUGUCUCGAGUUUAGUUAGUGUCGUGCCUUGAUGCCUAUCCCCUAUGAAUGUGACCAUUUCCACUUUGGAUGGAGACCAGACCAAAGACCAGUCCCUGGGUGUUUGCCAUGGGAAAUGCUGGAUUAGCGCCAAGAGGCUUAGAUAGUUCGGGGUGGCUGAGAUCUUAUUGAAACUAUCCUCUAUUGAAGGGUUUGUAUGGAGGCCCUAUACUCGGGGCGUUCAGCAUUCCAUGCCCUUUUGUGUGAGUACUGUCGUGCCUGAAGAUGGUAACCAAAAUUGUGUAGUAGAAGAGACUCAUCCCCUCGUUGGUGUGGCACGUAUUGUUCUAUGGCCCGGUGUCAUCGCCUACCUAGACCGAUCCAGUGAGGCACAGGUUGUGGCUUAUCAUCUUGACAGAGUCCUUUGUGAGUUUGGGUAUGACGACUUGGGUGCUCAGUUCUUACAGUCUGUAGGGGAGAAUGAGUUCUGGACCUGUAGGAAUGCCUUGGAAUUCCUGGGGGUUUUUUGAUUCCCUAUUGCGGGGUACAAGAGGGUUGAGGUUUGUAGGUCCCUCCAUUUGGCCUAUAUGUGCUCCUUAUUUGGUGGGUUCCAAUUGUUUAUGUCUGCGACCCCCAUCUUCAUCACGUCAUGGCUCCCCCUUUUGGUCAUGCUCCUAACUAGGGGCAGGCACUGGCUCCUCCUCAACCGAUUCCUCCAUCCGCAAUCGUGGAAGAAUGAGAAUUUCUGGGCGUUGUUCGGAAGGGUAAGCACCCUGUUGUGGAAAAAGGUGAAGGCAACUGUGCUCCUGCUGCCAAGAGAGUCAGAUCAGCUAGGCUGCCUCGUGCAAUCGUUCCUCCUAUACUAGUGGUGCAGCAUGAAACCGAGUCCGAUGUUGCAUCGUCUCGGGCUGAGGAGGAUCUAGGUAGGGGUUCUCUACGAGCAAAUCCUGAAGGAGUCAGACAUGGUCCUCCAGCCCCAACUCCUGAGGCAAGGGAGGUGGCUGAUACGGAGUCGGUACAGUCUGCAGUGCCGGUUCCCCCCACUGAGGUUGUUUUUGUUCGUGUCACAGGUGGGUGUGUGAAGAAAAUGGCUCCCUAUCCACGUAGGAGGGAGCCCAAAAAAGUUAAUUUGGUAAGAUUCUAUAGCUCUGUAUUGUAUUUGGUUAACUGCUGGUGCUGUUAUUAUGUCAUGGCUUGUAUUAGUCUUUUUACAGUCGUUUGUGUUGAAGCGGGUGGAGGCCGAUGAUGCUCAGCCUGAUGUGGAAACCCCACAAGUUAUGUCUGAGGGCAUUGUUGGCGAAAAGUCUCGCUUAUUGUCAGACGGCUGGUGUGGGAUUUACAGUCCUUGCAGCCCUCUACUAAGGGUCAGGGAACACUUGAGGACCGUCCCAGUGGCCUUGGGGAUGCCAAGGUAGCCGAGAAUACUGUUGUCGAUGACGUAGCGCCAAUCUUUGCUAUGCGAGAAGGGGAAGAAAUCCUUGUGGGUUUGCAGAAGCAGCCAUCUAGUGAGCCAGUGUGUCAAACCGAGAUUACCCAAAAGGAUCUACCGGCUGUUGAGACUCCUGAAGAGGCGGACUCUAGUUAGGGCAGUCUGCUGAGGGAAAACAAGGUCAAAGGCCAGCUGAAGUGCUAUCUGAGACAGAGCACGAGACAACAACAGACAUAGGUCAUGAAGAAGAGGUUGCACCUACUGGCCUCGUUGAAUCUGAUGUUGUUGGAGAUGUAUCGGCUGUGGACUUGGAGACUCAACCCAAAAGUGAACCUAUGGGUUUUGAGAUAGUAUCGCCGCCCGAGGCUCUGUCCCAUGACGAGGAACUUGCAUUAGUGCUACAAGAGCUUAAGGAGUAUUGUGAGAAGCAUGAAGUCGUUCCUUUAGACUAUGUCGUUGUGGAUCUGGUUUCUAGUUUUCAAAAAGACAAAAAAUAUUUCGUAUCAAGUUCUGUAGCAAAGGCGACUUAUGUCAUUAUUCAAAAGGACUAGUUUCCACCUACUGACAUUCCUCUAGUGGUUAUAGGGACAUCACUCAAUACAAUCAUGACAAUGAUGAAUUGUAUCAUGGUCCAAUCCACUGAUGAGCUUUCGUGGUCUAGGUUCGCCUAAUGGCUGAGGACUUGUGAGUCUUUUUCUGUUCUCGGUUUUCAAAUGGACCAGGUCGAGGAGCGAAUUGUUCUACUGGCCCACAUGUUUUGGAAAUAUGGUCUCAAGGGGUCUUAGUCUCUUUCUGCUCAAUCUAUAAAGGAUGUUUGCCUGCGCCUCAAGGUGGUUGAAUCAAAUCUUUCGAAGGCAAUUGAAAGUUAAACGACCUUCUUUACGAGUGCAGUCGUCAGUGGAAAAUAAUAUCACAGUAAAUCUAUAAAGGAUGUUUGCCUGUUAGGUUUUGAAUGCAGAAGUAGAGUUUGGCAAAGAUAGUCAAUAUGAGGAAAGAAUGGUAUGCAACGUGAAAUGCAUAUGAACUCUAUACUAUGUAAAUUGCUAAGAUUUUUGUAAUGAAAGACUAUUUUUGAUUUUA